UUGACUACAAUGUUUUUUG
rnacentral:snRNA from 1 species